UGGGGAAUAUUGCACAAUGGGCGAAAGCCUGAUGCAGCAACGCCGCGUGAGUGAUGAAGGCCUUCGGGUUGUAAAGCUCUGUCUUCUGGGACGAUAAUGACGGUACCAGAGGAGGAAGCCACGGCUAACUACGUGCCAGCAGCCGCGGGAAUACGUAGGUGGCAAGCGUUGUCCGGAUUUACUGGGCGUAAAGGAUGCGUAGGCGGAUAUUUAAGUGAGAUGUGAAAUUCCCGGGCUUAACUUGGGAGCUGCAUUUCAAACUGGGUAUCUAGAGUGUGGGAGAGGAAAGUGGAAUUCCUAGUGUAGCGGUGAAAUGCGUAGAGAUUAGGAAGAACCCCGGUGGCGAAGGCGACUUUCUGGACCAUAACUGACGCUGAGGCAUGAAAGCGUGGGGAGCAAACA
rnacentral:rRNA from 1 species